UCCACGGGCCUGCAGAUCCCGGGCCCGCCCGGUGCGGCGCAAAGUGCAGCGCGGGGUAACUCGAGCGAUCAUUAACGAUUCACGGGCUUGGGGAGGGGGCAUCCCCCCCGCCGCCUGGAUUAUUUUUCUCCGGCGGAGGGAUACGACGGAGUUCAUACAAGCGCGACGAGUGAGCGGCUGUAGUCCCGGCCGGGCGCUCGGCGGACGCUUUGGGCGCCAAGGAUGAAAUGGUGCCAAGAGACUCCAAUUAAGGAUCAGGAGCCCGCUGUGCUCAGUGCAGACAGAUAGUGAAAAAGACAGUUCCUGGCCCAGGGAAACAGGUUCUUGGAAGACAGCAAUGAUUGCAUCUGCCCAGGGGACCAGCGGGAGGGACUAUGAUGAUAAAUCUGAGGAACUAUCCCAGAUUGAGGUAUCGGUAGAGGUGGUUUUGGAACAAAUUGAUAAACAGUGAGGAAUUACCAGGACCAGUUCACCCAAGAGUUUGGAAGGAACUCAAAUAUGAAAUUGCAGACCUACUAACUGUGGUAUGUACCUAUCUCUUAAAUCAGCUUCUGUACCAGGUGGCUGGAGGAUAGCUAAUGUGACACCAAUUUUUUAAAAAGGCUCCAGAGGUGAUCCUGGCAAUUAUAGGCCAGUAAACCUAACUUGAGUGCCAGGAAAAUUGGUGGAAACUAAGAACAGAAUUAUCAGACACAUAGAUUAACACAGUUUGAAAACAUCUGCUCAGUGUGAAGUGGCAGGCAAAAAUCCCAACAGAAUG